AGUUAAUCUACGCCAGGCAGCUUGAAAGGAUCCGGCCCAAGGAGGUGGAAGGCGCGAGAAAGAAGACCUGUGCGUGUCGUCUCCUUCUAGACGUGUCAUCAGUUCCUCGGAUGGCGUAGGAAGGGGGUGGAGGCAGCCAACGAGGGAAGGGAUUAAUCCGAAGCAGCCGGUGAUCACCUCUUAGAGAACUGGUCUGAUCGUGAGAGGACUACAUUUUCGAAGCGCCGCGUCGCGUUUCAGCAUCCUCUCGGACCUCUCCAGGGAAAUAAAAGAACGUAUUUAUAUCUACGUCUGGAUAGCGCCGGGAAACGUUCUAUAGAUGGAACUCCCGACGACGGGGCAUCUAGUUUAUGCGAUUAAUCCGUGCGUAACAGGGAGGCAUUGACCACGUGAUCAAACACUGGCCUUGAUAUGGAGUCUUUGAUGAGAAUGACGUUGAUGCUUUUGGACAGCUAGAGCUACUUACCUUUAGAACUACAUUUUUAUAUAUUGUUGGAUGAUCAACGCAACUAAUCACAAACAUGACAAAGACCAUAGACUCGUCCUCAACCAAACAUCCUAAUCUCGGUCCCUAGUUCCUCACUCAUCCUGUACUUCGUACCAUUUCUUAUUUGUAUUUUCCUUUGACCGCUGUCCUUAACAUCACUCAUCCUCCAAGCAAUAUAAAAGCCCGGAAAAACCCAAGAACCAGACAGAAUUCAGUAUUCAUCGGCAAGUGCGGACGUAGUUGUAUAAAUAAAAACGUUUAACACGUUGACUGCCAAGAAAGUACUCUUGAUAAUUUCUGUUGGAAUUUAAUUUUGUUUACAGACAAUUGGAAACUCCAUAAUCAAACAUUUAUUGUGCUGUUUGUUUAUGUAACUUCAUCGAAAUUUAAGAAUUUCAUUCAAAUUUAUUUACUUUGACAUUUGACUUUCAGAAUUAAUUUUUGUAGUAGUUCUUAAAAUUCUUUAGUUUAAAAAUUGUACACUAUGACGAAGUUACCUUUUGAACAAAUAAUAAAAUGAAUGUUUGUUUCCAUUCAAGUGCUGAUAGCUAGCUGUUUAUAUGUUUACCUACUUUUCUGUACAGCUGCCAGUAAUACUAUAAUUGUUUUCUUUUUUGUUACAAGCUCGUCAUUGAGCACUUAAGGUAAGGGUCGGUUACUUUCACCGUUUCCAAGGCAGAAUCGAUUACUUUUGGUCCGAUAUUGCUGACGCACAGGUAUGGCAGGUACCUUCAAAGUAAUUGUACUCCCAAGCAGUCAUUCUGACGCCAGUCUAAUUAUGGACAUCUUAUUCGUAACUCUAGGUCAGGUAUGAAAAACCAGUAUUCUUAAUCUGCCCUUCGUCCUCAAGGAUUAUUUAUCAACUGUGGCCUUCUGCGAAUUUGUCAGAAAAUCUUAUGCUCAUUACCCUGUUUUGGCACAAUGCGUAAAACUAUUCAAUACCUAAUUUAUAAAGGACUAACUGAAGUUAUGGGCAUGGACAUUAAAAUCACAUUUUUAUAAAACAAUUACUGACUAGCUUUUCAAAAAUAUCACACCUACUUUUAGUUGGCUUGCAGAACAAAUAAACGUCGUUGACGAAGUGUAUCGCCACCACCAGUGAGUGUUGAGUAAAUAAAUGUUUGGAAAUGGCUGCAAAAACAUAUCCAGCGGAUUUAAAUCUAGAAAACGACCAAGCCAGGCAAUAGAUCCCGCGUGACCUAUCCAUCUGUUAGAAAAUCGUUCGUUCAAGAACUGUCUGGUAUAUUCAGCUGAAAUGUGGCGGUGAACCGUCAUGCAUAAAUCACAUGCGACGGUACAACAUCUAGUGGAACUUUCAAUAACUCACGCAAAUAAUUACUUAAGAAACUGACAUCCGAUUGACCUGUUAAUCCAUCGUUAAGGAAAACGUGGAACUUCCGAACAUUGCGUAUAAACAAUUGGGGAGAACCAGUUACACUGACUCAGUUUCAGAUUGGAAAGUACGAAAUACACAAAAGGAAUGGCUGUAGCUUGUGGACAAAAGCAAAUCUUUUGAGUGAUCUCGAUUGCUAAAGUGAUUACUAACCAUAAUUAUUGAAGUAAACAUGCGAAGGUAAAGUGAUGCUCUAAUACGAUUCUACGUUCUAUACGAAUACAAGAUAUGAUAUAAUGAAUCACGAUGCACAAUUUACUCAUCUACAUUGACGCGCAGAAUUUUAAUGAGUUUACUGUACUCAUUUAUCUUGAUUACAUGGUUUUAUUUUCAACAAAAUGAUUGACUAUGUUAUUGCGAGCCAUUCAAAAUCUUUGUAAGAGUUUACAAUAAAUCUUCCGAAGACGACUCCAAAAGAAAUAUGUUUGUUGCUUGAACAAAUAUAUAAAUUAAAUUAAAUAUUACAUGAGAGAAUUACACUUUGAAAAAAAAUAAUUCCUCGUUACAACCAUAAGUGUACUUAAUAUCACAAAGUAUUAUUGACUUUACGGUUUACCUUGCUGCUAAUAGACCAAAUUAAACCUAAAUUCCUCGUAAGGAAUGAUUGAUCUCGAAUAAAUAGAACAAUUCAGUCCAUAUCGUUCCUUCGCCUUCUCUUCCCAACUCCACCGGUCUUCAUGAUGCCAAACACGAUAAAAAAAUAGUGAUUUCGGUCGCGUUUAAUUUUCUGAAUUUCAUUCCACUCGCCAGCGACCAGAGCUUCCUAUUUAACUUCUGCAACCACUUA